rnacentral:rRNA from 1 species
UACGUAGGGUGCAAGCGUUAUCCGGAAUCACUGGGCGUAAAGCGCGCGCAGGCGGCGGUGCUGGCCCGGCGUGAAAGCCCCCGGCUCAACCGGGGAGGGUCGUCGGGGACCGCACCGCUUGAGGGCGGUAGGGGCUGGUGGAAUGCCUGGUGUAGUGGUGAAAUGCGUAGAGAUCAGGCGGAACACCCGUGGCGAAGGCGGCCAGCUGGGCCGUCCCUGACGCUGAGGCGCGAAGGCGUGGGGAGCAAACAGG